GCUCCUCUUCUGCUAUUGCUCGGACGCGAACACAAAACUCAGUCGCCGCCGUCCGCUCCUCCUCGCCUCAAGGAUGCGAGCACAUGCCGCCGUCCGCCGGUUGCCGCUCUCCUCUGCCGCCUCAUGGAUGCAAGCGAGGGUCUCCGGCACCAUCGUCCGCUCCACCUCUGCUGCCCCACGGACAUGAGCGUGGGGCACCGUGGCCGCCUGCCAUUCUCCUCUGCUGACCCAGAACUUUUGGGUUAUACAGAGGAUACAAGAGGGUUGUUUCACAGCUGAUUCAGCAUCUUCUUCAAGGUUACAUCUCCCCUGUACUGAUUUACUAUCUUUUCAGUUCAUAUUUAUUAGUGGCCAAAGAUUCAUGCUUGCUCCCAAGUUCUGUUGAUAGAGAUGUAAGACUUUUUCUUUUGUUAACAUGAAUUUAGUUGAUUGUUAACAGAUUUGUCUGUAAGGUUUGAGGCCGCAUUUAACGGACUGAACAUUUUUUCUUUCUGAACUAUGAUCUUAUGGGAAGUAGCGAGAGUGCGGGACUAUGAUUUGGCUAUGGAGGCGUCACCUAACAAUUCUGCAUUCCAGAAUCACCUCGCUUCCCAUUUUCAGAUACGGAGCUCUACAACAGAAUUCCAGUUUGUUCCUCUAUCAUUUAUGUUACAACUUGUUGUUGAUUCUUUUACAUUUCUUUGGUAACUUUAAGUGAAAGGCAACCUACAAUCGAGCAGCGAUUUACCAAAGAGCAGUUUAGAGUUUUCUCUUUCUUUUGUACAUUGUUGUUGUGCAUAAUUUGUUCUGUUAUAGAGCUUUGUUAGAAAAGCUGAUUUAACGCAUUGUUCGGCUUUAGAUUACUGCACCUUAUGGUUGUGAGUGGAUUUAAGAGUUAACAUGAUACAAUAUCUUUUUGAAAGAUGAUAGAUUAUCUCGACACA